CUAAAGCCCCCCGCUUACACCGAGAAGUUAUCUGUUUGACCCAGAUCAUUUUGAGCCUAAAAUCUAGCUCACUUCAUAUAUGCACAUGACACCCCCCCAACCUAUUUUUCUGCAAACAAAACAUUUUUAUAUUAUAGUACAGGAGAUCGAAAAAUUUCUAGACGCUUCAGAUAAAGUACCGCAAGGGAAUAAUGAAAUAGUAAUGAAAUAAACUUAAAGCACAGAAUAGCAGAGACACCCCCUCGUACCUUUUGUAUCAUGGUCUAGCCAGUCUAACCAAGCAAAAAGUAACUUUAAGUUUGACACCCCGAAACUAGGCGAGCUACUUUUAAACAGCCCCGGGGGGCCAACCCAUCUCUGUUGCAAAAGAGUGGGAAGAUUUUUAAGUAGAAGUGAUAUGCCUACCGAGCCUAGAGAUAGCUGGUUGCUCAGGAAAAGAGUUUUAGCUCUACCUUAAGUUUUCUUAUUAUACUAAACAAGCCCAUAAACUUAAGAGCUAUUCAAACAAGGCACAGCUUGUUUGACACAGGAUACAACCUCAUAUACCGGGUAAAUAGGGGGUUACUAAACAAAGUGGGCCUAAAAGCAGCCACCUUAAAAAUAGCGUUACAGCUUAACUACAAAACCCUUAAAUUCCAUAUACCUAAAACAACCCUUCACCCAUACUGAGCUAUUUUAUACUUUUAUAGAAAUAAUUAUGCUAGAACUAGUAACAAGAAACUGCCCUUCUCCUAAAUGCAAGCAUAAGCCAAAAUGGACAACACAUUGGUAAUUAACGUAAAUAUAUAUAAUAUAGCAACUUCAACUAGAAAACCCUAUGUAUCUUCACCAACGUUAACCUUACACCAGAGCAUUACCAGAAAGAUUAAAAGAGAAAGAAGGAACUCGGCAAACCUUAGCCCCGCCUGUUUACCAAAAACAUCGCCUCUUGCCCCCUUAUAAGAGGUCUAGCCUGCCCAGUGACAAAGUUUAACGGCCGCGGUACCCUGACCGUGCGAAGGUAGCAUAAUCACUUGUUCUUUAAAUAAGGACUUGUAUCAACGGCAUCACGAGGGCUGUACUGUCUCCUUUCUCCAAUCAGUGAAACUGAUCUCCCCGUGAAGAAGCGGGGAUUUAGUUAUAAGACGAGAAGACCCCAUGGAGCUUUAAGCCUAGUAUGCAACCACACUAUAGAUCCUCUGAACUAUAAGACCCUGUGUACUAACUUUAGGUUGGGGGGACCGCGGAGUAUAAUCUAACCUCCACGACUAAUGGGCUUCGCCCUUAUCCACGAGUUACACCUCUAAGAAUCAGCAAACUGAUGUUAAAUGACCCGAUAAUUCGAUUAACGAACCAAGUUACCCUGGGGAUAACAGCGCAAUCCACUUCAAGAGUUCUUAUCGACAAGUGGGUUUACGACCUCGAUGUUGGAUCAGGGUACCCCAGUGGUGCAGUCACUAC
rnacentral:rRNA from 1 species